GCAUUGGUGGUUCAGUGGUAGAAAUCCUGCCUGCCACGCAAGAGGCCUGGGUUUGAUUCCUGGCCAAUGCA